rnacentral:lncRNA from 1 species
CAAGGUCAAGAGGUGGCAGUGAGCAGGUGAGUGAGCGAGGUGGUGGGGCCAGGGCUGAGUGGCAGGCCUUGGAGGGCUGCCUGGGUCUUGGAACGACCGCUUAUUUUGACACCUUGUCGGGGGUGAGCGGGGGGUGGGGGGCAGCUAGCUGGCUUUGCGGUUUCUGAGACACCCAGUAGAGAUGUCAAGGAAAAAUUAGCUGGACAGGUCUGUGUUCCCAGCAUGAGGGCUGAUGGACACUCAGGUGUCUGUCGAGGCCCUGCUUGGGAUGUCGGAGUGGUUUGCCCAGGGAGAGCAGGGUUGGGGAGGGCGGCUGGAGAGGUGGAAGGAGCAUCUUAGAAAAGGGGCAUGGGGAAGGCCAACGGCAUCUCCUCUCACUGCAGCUCCUGCCCACUGCCCUCCAGAGUCCCCUUCCCUUGAGCUGGUAUGUCAGGGCUGCUCAGGGCUGCCCUCUGGUGCUGGGAUGGAGCUUGGCUCAAGCAGGGGCUGAGGAAACAUUUGUGGGAAGAAGGAAUGGAGAGACCCUGGCCUUUGGGAUCAGCUGACCUGUUUUGCAUAUUAAAUUUAUUGCAUCGGCGGCCCGGCGAGGUGGCUCACGCCUGUAAUCCCAGCACUUUGGGAGGCCGAGACGGGCGGAUCAUGAGGUCAGGAGUUGGAGACCAGCCUGGCCAAUGUGGUGAAACCCCAUCUCUACUAAAAAAUACAAAAAUUAGCCAGGCAUGGUGGCGGUGCGUGCCUGUAAUCCCAGCUACUCAGGAGUCUGAGGCAGGAGAAUUACUUGAACCCGGGAGGCGGAGGUUGCAGUGAGCCAAGAUUACGCCACUGCACUCCAGCCUGGGUGACAGAGCAAGACAUGGUCUCAGAAAAAAAAAAAAAAAAUUACUGCAUUGUAUUGUUUUAUUCUUAAAUUUUUUGUUACAUGUCUUUUCAAAUAUACUUAAAAGUAGGGACUAUGAUAGUGAUACGUUUUUAUCAUAGUAUAUGUGCUAAUAUUUUGGUGUUCCUUCAUCUGGCUUCAAGUUACCAAUAUUUUGUCAUUCUUAAUUUUCAUAUUCAGCUUAUUUCUCCCCCCUCCUUUUUCUUUGCUGGAUUAUUUUAAGGCUUAUCAGGUUUAUUUCACCUGAGAUCCUUAAGUAUAUUUCUAUUAUUUCUCAAUUAACAUUUUGGGUCAGAUAACUUCUCUGUGGGGGCCUUUGCUGUGCGUUGUAGGAUAUUGAGAUGUAUCCCCAGCCUCCACCCACCGGAUGCAAGAGCACUACUCCCUGCUGAGACACCCAAAAGCAUCUCCAAAGAUUGCUCAGUGUUCCCUGGGGACACCCCCCCUCCUCCAGUUGACAACCACUGCUCUAACCAGAUAACCUUAAAAAAUUGUUUUGUUUUUUUAACAAAACCACAAUAGCAUGAUUAGAUUAGCGAAAUUCCUUAGUGCCUAUUCCAUGUUCAAAUUUUUCUAUCUCAAGAAUUUUUUUUUUUUUUUUUGAGACAGAGUCUCGCUGUUGCCCAGGCUGGAGUGCAGUGUGCCCGCCACCACACCUGGUUAAUUUUUUUUGUAUUUUUAAUAGAGACAGGGUUUCACCGUGUUAGCCAGGAUGGUCUCGAUCUCCUGACUUUGUGAGCCGCCCGUCUUGGCCUCCCAAAGUACUGGGAUUACAGGCGUGAGCCACCGCGCCCGGCCAAUAAUUUUUUUUUUUUUGAGACGGAGCCUCACUCUGUCACCCAGGCUGGAGUGCAGUGGCGCAAUCUCGGCUCACUGCAUCCUUCACCUCCCGAGUUAAAGAAGAGUAGCUGGGACAGGCACCCGCCAUCAUGUCUGGCUAAUUUUUGUAUUUUUGGUAGAGAUGGGGUUUCGCUAUGUUGGCCAUGCUGGUCUUGAACUCCUGACCUCAGGUGAUCCAUCUGCCUCAGCCUCCCAAAGUACUGGGAUUACAGGCGUGAGCCACUGUGCCCAGCCGAGGAUAUUUUUUAUAGUUUGUUUCAGUAAGGAUCCAUAUCAGGUCCCUGCCUUGAAUUUGGUUACAAAGUUUGUGUAAUUUAUCCUUUGUACCUCACUCCCUCUUUUUUUUUUUUGCAAGCUCUUUUAUUUGUAGAAGAAAUAAGUUCAUCUGCUAUAUAGAAUUUUCAGUGUUCGUGUAGGCUCAUUGUAUCCUUCCCUCCCUCCAUUUUCCUGUAAAUUGGUUUAAGCAAGGUUAGAAGCUCGAAUAGAUCAAGGUUCAAGUUUUUAAAUUUUAUUCAACCUGGGUUUGAAUCCUAAUUUCUGAGCUUCCCUUAGUUCACUUAUUGUUGGGAGAACAUGGCUGUUGGGGUGGUUCUGGGAGCGCCCACCAUGGUGGCUCGUGUGGAGUAGACACUCAGCACGAGGGACCCCUCCCCCGCGGUGAGCUCGUCUAGGCCUCCCGCCUGCGCUCUAUGGCUCUGCUGAGUUUCUGGCAUGUCUCUAUUCUUUCUCCCUCUCCAUGCCUAUGGUGUGUUUAUGCUCUUGUUUUUUGAUCCUGGAGAAUAUUUGGGUGAACUCCACCAAACCUGCUUACUAAGGGUCCCUUUCUGACACCUGUGGCGAAGCCCCCUCCUCCCUGUCCCUUCCUGCCUUCAGUGCUGGGGUUGGGUGGACGCUGACUGGCUGUUGGGCGUGAGCCUUGUUCACAAACCUGCCUCUCCUUUCCCCACAGAUCUUUGUGGAGUUCACCUCUGUGUUUGACUGCCAGAAAGCCAUGCAGGGCCUGACGGGCCGCAAGUUCGCCAACAGAGUGGUUGUCACAAAAUACUGUGACCCCGACUCUUAUCACCGCCGGGACUUCUGGUAGAGGCGGCUGGGGGAGGGUGGGGGCAGGGCUGGCUGGGGGCUUCUCCCCACUCCCGCCCCCCCCUUAUCCCCCUCUGAAGACGAUGGGCAGAGGAGUGACAGCCGCAGACACACGACAGCCGGCAGCAACUGGAAUGGCAGCAAUUAAGGGUGGGGGGCGGGGGUUGGGGGGUUGGGGGGUUAGGGCAGGGAGGGGACUGGGGAAGUGCGCACACAGCCCACACAGACAACACGCACCCACACAGACACAGAGGGAAGGGGUUGGGAUGGGGACAGGGUGCACAGCAGGGCGGGGUAGGACCCCAGCCCCUCCCAAAACAGCCUCUCCUUCUCCCAUAGACCCCUUUCUUCUCCCCUUCCCCACGGUAGGAACAUAGCGUGUUUAUAUUUUAUGGCCAAACUAUUUUGAAUUUUGUUGUCCGGCCCUCAGUGCCCUGCCCUCUCCCUUACCAGGACCACAGCUCUGUUCCUUCGGCCUCUGGUCCUCUCUGGUCCCCUCCUGGGUUUCUUACGUAGUUGAUUUUUCCUCUUUAGUCUCCCCCGACCUGCGCCCAGCCCCGUGGCCCCUGCCCCUCUCCUACUCUCUGUGGCAGUUUCAUAUUUGCUAAGACGAAUUUGCUCAUUAAACAUUUUGUUGUAUUUUACUU